rnacentral:lncRNA from 1 species
UAUAUGAGACGGCUCAAACAAUAAUCUUUGCCCUUUAUAUUAAACUAGAUUAGUUUAACAUGUGAAAUGUCCAUAAAGUAUCAUCACAUGAUUGGUUUUAGGGCACAUUUCCAACAGAGAGUAAAUGAUUUUGCAACAAGAAAAAAAAAAGACAUUAAUGUUAAAAAUGUAUUGCAUAUUAAUUUUUUAGAACGGCUUUGAAUUUUCAUAAAACUAUUCUAUUCAGUUUUUUUCACCAUACUCUUGAAUACUUUUCAAUUUAUCCUUUUUUUAUUAAUAUAUUAGAACAUUGUAUUUCAUUAUCUACAUGCACAUUAAUUUACCUACAACAAUUAUACCAUGGGUGUAAUAUAAUAUCUCUUUUUUACAAUGAUGCAAAAUAAUGUUUAUACCAACAACAAAACGUGCCUAACAUAUGUACUAAUACAUGGAAAAUAAUUUACCUAUAUUAAGAAGAAAUGUAGUUCGAUGCAUUGACACACCCCGACCUAAAAUCAAGGCGAGUUGGCCGUCACGUGAGGGUGACGUAGCCAUGUGCAUAGUGCGGAAGCAAUAAGGAUAUGAAAUAUACAAAUAAAUAAGAACCGAAAGCUAAUUAAUGUGCACUAAUAAGCAAAAAGUGCCAGGAAUGAGAUACAAGUGUAAAUACACCUAAUCAGAGCAUAGAAGUCUAGGUGCAAUCCAGUAGGACAAGUACUACUUAUACAGCACCAGAAGAAGUCCUACGAGAACCGCCAAGAUCCACAAAUGCCACCAACAGCAAGUCUACCUAAAACCUGGAGGAGCGCAAAACAAAAAGUGUGAGUGGGGAAAAACAAAGCUUUUCAAAAUCAUUUCAUUUAUCAAAUGCUAUAACCCCUCGCCGUAAAACAUUUAUAAUUUUCCCAGAAAUGGAAUGUAAAUAUAUAUAUAUCAAAUCAUGCUUCACAUAUCCAUAAUCAUAAGUAUGCCAUGCCAAAAAUAUAAAACAUAAUAAGUAACUCAGGUGAAAAUAAAUUCAUGGAAAAUAACAUAUUAGCCGGAACCCCUGCAGAAGUAUGUACGGUUGAAUUCAUAGCUCAUUAAUCAAUCUAGUCGAAGUCACUACAAGUGACCUAUACGGUACUACACUGCACACGAGUCGGAACCACUGUAAGGGUCUGUACGACAAGACUAGGUGUAAUAUAGUUAUGCUCAAUCCUACGCACUCAUGAUAGCUAUGCGAUAAAUCGCUAGUCACCUACAAGUCGGAACCACCUAUGAUGGUCUAUACAACAAGACUGUGCACCUAAAUUGGAUCCAAUGUGAGCAUAGGGUGCGGGAGGUGACAUUAUAAACAAACUUGUACCAUAUCUUUGGCUAAAUCACAAUCACCCUGGGUGCAAGUUUAUGAUCUUUCAAUCACAUCUCAUAUUAUAAAUAUCUCAUAUAAUAAAACAUGACUCACCUGGUACUUACCUGAGCGUCCACAACACCAAUUCAUAUUAUACAUCAUAUACUAAUUCAUAUGCUGAAUAUAAAUUUAUAUGCAUGGCAUUUCAAAGCAUACUUUUGUUUAAACACGUUUUCUGGGAAAUAUCAAGUAUAUAAAUAUAUACUGGAAAUCAAAAGCCCACUUACUGGUAUGUCGAAGGGUCGUAGCCCCCAAGUUGACCUUGACUGCGUUCAUCCUCGGGAUAGGUUUCACUUAUAUGCGAAAUAACUGAAUAAACGUUAUUUAAAGCACAUAACCAAUACUAGCUAAAAACUUCUCAUACAUUGCUCAAUUGGGAUGUUUGAAUAUACCAACGUGAUCUACACUGACACACCCCGAUCCUAGAAUCAAGGCGUGCUGACCGUCACGUGAGUGUGACGUAACCAAAAGUGCCACGCGGAAGCAAUAGGUAAGAGAAUUAAGAAGAAAUAAAACCAAAUACUAGCAAUAAUAUCCAACUAGCAUGCUAGAGUGAAUUUCAGUGUGAAACACACAUAUUCAGAGCAUAACAUUUCUAACCCCUCGCUAUAAAACUUGUAUACUUUCCCAGAAAAUAACAUAAUAUGCAUAUAAUCUUCAUAUAUCUCAAAUCACAAUUCUUUAUCAAAAAUCAGAAAGUAUGCCAUGCUAUAAAUGUCAAUAACAGAAUAAGGAUGCAUCAAUAUAAUAGGUGAAAUAAUGAAUCAACCGAAAACCUUGUAGUUGGUCAUGUACGGUUAAUUCUAAAGCUCAAUAUCCCAUCUAACCGGAGUCACCGCAGUGACCUGUACGGCGCUACUCUGCACAUAAAUCGGAACUACCUGAAGUAGUCUGUACGAUAAGAAAGGUGUAAGAAUACGCUCUAGUGCUUCUCUCAUCAACAGCUGUAUAAUAAUCUAAAAUCACCUACAGUCGGAACCACUCUAUAGUCUGUACGACAUGUCGGAACCAACUCUUGGUCUGUACGACAUGCACUUACUUGGAUCCAAGGUGAGCGUGUGGUGCGGGGUGAAUAAUAUAAGCACUAACACCAAUGGUGCAGGUUAUGAGCUCUCAACACAAUUCACAUCAUCAAUAAAUCAUAUGAACAAUAUAAACUCACCUGAUACUCACUUGUGCGUCCACAGCACCAUUUCACAUAUAUAUGCAUCAAUUACUAAUUCAUAUAAUUCAUAAUAUGCAUGCAUGGCAUUUUAAAAACAUGCUUUCAUUUAAAUUCAAUUUCUGGGAAAUUCAGUACUAUAUAGGUAAUAACAGAAAAUAACUGCCUACUCACUGAUAAGUCGAAGGGUCGUAACCCCUGUGAUGUCCUUGAAUGCGCUCGUCCUCGGGAUAGGUAUCACAGGAGAAAUUCCAAGA